GUACAUACCUAUAGCAUAGUGAUAAUGCAUUGGAUCCCAUUAGAACUCCGCAUUUAAGCACACUUGAGCUAGAGUAGUACUAGGAUGGGUGACCACCUGAGAAGUCAUAGUGUUUUACAUG
rnacentral:rRNA from 1 species